UAGUAAUACACCAAGUUUCUUGUAGUGUCUGAUUUGAACUGCAGAAUAUAGGGAGCAGUUUCAUUUAACAAGUUUCAGUUUUUUGUUCAUUGCAUCUGACAUAUUUUUAAGUGUCCCUGUCCUGUUUGACUGACUAUUGUUUUCUCUCAGAUCUAUACUGCAGCUGUAUCAGCAAAAAACUGGAAAUGAGGAUCUCAGCUGACUCCUGUUUUACAUCUUGGAGCUGGAGCAUGUGAUGGAAUAAUUGCCAUGUCCGCAACUUAUCCAAUGGAUAUGGUUCGAGGCAGGAUAACUGUACAGACAGAGAAGUCCCCUUACCAGUACAGAGGGAUGUUCCAUGCUUUGACAACUGUGCUUAGGGAAGAAGGCCCACGUGCUUUAUAUAAGGGUUGGCUUCCUUUA